rnacentral:lncRNA from 1 species
UUUUUUUUUUUUUUAAAGAUGGGUGUUUAUAGAAGGUAUAGGAAAGUGUUAAGGAAUUUGGAAGGUCAGAAGUGCCUGAUUUCAUUUAGUCUGUUGAAGUUGGGGCCCAGAAAAAUUCAUUUUCUCUGUCCUGACUCUGUCUAGGUGUAGUGUUUAUAUGUAAAUGAAGCUUCUUCAGAAACCUACUGCUACUGUUGAAAUAAUUGCCUUGUUAGUAGUAUAUCUGAGCAGUUGUUGCUUGGUUUUCCUAGAUAUAAGACAACUACCUACCUUUCAAUAUACUUAUAUUGUGACAAACUUUGUUGGAGAUGAAACCUAAUUUAAGCAGAGGAUUUUUGAGGUUUGUUGCCUAGACAUUUCAGAAAUUGAAAAUUCAAUUACAGAGUUAUCUUGCAACAUUGACAAUGAUUUGUGACAUAGACCCUAUUCUGUAAUAUUUGUACUGAUCUGAGGCAUGCAUGCCUACUUCAGCUUAGCAAGUAAUGCAUAUAUCCAAGCAGAGGAAAAAGUUUUAUUUGAUGGUGGCGAAGCCUUAUGUUUCCAGUGAAAAAGCACGGCUGUCCUUGGGCUGAAAUUGAGGUGCCUGUGACCCCUCUGCACACUGCCUCACUACCUGUGUAAGCACUUCCUACUUGUUAUCUGCUUCUGAAGGCAAAUUCCAGCUCUCCUGGCUGCCUGUUGGUGCCCUUCCCUAGUUUGUAAUCACAGUUCCAAGAGGCCGCAUCCCCAGGUGGACCAGAGGACAAACCACUGCCCUCUGAAGAAAGGGGCUGGUUGGGAAAGCCUCGUUAAAGGGAACUCCUCUGCGCUUUUCUCCGUUUGUGUGUCAAAGCAAAGCUCAUUUUUGAGUUGGUCCCUGAAAGACACACCUCUUCCCUUCCCCACAGCUGAAGAGUUGGAGUUCUUCCCUUCCUUGAACCCUGUAGGUGGUCAGGUGUACUUAGCAAGGACUGAUGAUGGACUCAAUGACGUUUAAGCCCAAGUAGUGCCCAGGCUUUUGCUAUAAGAGCUAAGUGUUGGGAAAUGAAUGCAUCACGUGGACAGCUGGUAGGGUUGGGAUUGCCUUAGUGCUUAUGGGAAAAUGGCUUUAAUUCUCCCAUACACAGUUUUAGUCUAAGUCGUUCUUACAAUAUUUUCUUGAAUAUACACUUAUCUCUGAAGUCACAUGAUUAUUUUGAAAAAUAUUUAUUUUAUGUGUAUGGGUGUUUUGUUCCAAGAAGAGGGAUCUGGAUUCCCUGGAACUGGAGUCAACUGACCGUCGUAAGUAGUCACGUGGAUUCUAGGAACCAAAUCCUGUUCCUCUGCAAGAGCAGUGGUGCUCCGUAACCACUGGGCCAUCUCGCUAGCCCUGAAUUCUCAUGACUUUUAAGAGCUUUUGGUAGAGUCAUAAUAGAAAAAAAAAUUGUGUAGAGCUUUAAUUGGGCAGAUCUUCAUUGCUAAAGACAAUUCGUCAGUAACUAUAUGCUUUAAAGGGAUCAUCUGGGUUUCGUUUCUAAUCUUUCCUCAGUAGACUGCUGAGCUCUGCUUAAGUUCGCACACAGCUUAGAGUCCAGUCAUGUCUUAUUUAGCAAACAGGGCUACAGGCCUUGAGAGUGUCUCAGUCUUGACCUGUGUUAGAUGCUUCUUAACAUUAUUCUCUGACGUAAUCCUGAAGUGAAUUUGAGUAAAUGAGUUUUAUCUAAAGGAUCAGGCCUUGAGAAUUGUUUGUAUAUAUAAAAAUGAGCAUAAAAUAAUUCAUGGCAGUUGAUCUAUCUCUAUAUGGUUAGCUGUAAGUUCCAAACCAGGAUUAACAUUUGCUAAUUGAUAUGGAGGAUCCUUUUGCUAUUACAUGGUCACUUUAUAGCAGUAGUAAAGAUCGUGGGGUGCUAAUCCCUCCCUUCCAGCUUCCCCUUCCAUAUAUAGUAUCUGACAUUAUAUGUAUGUUUUAUGCAGCCUUUUGGGUGAAUUAGAUGAGUGUGGAACAUUAGAAAUCUGGGUAGGAAGUGAGGUUCCAUACUGGACUAGAUUCAUGAGGAUAGUUCAGAAGCAACUUUGCGAUCUCUUCUAAACACUCCUUCAUUUUAAUACUAGAAACCCCUAUCUGAAGCUUCUUAAGAAUUAAAGUUAAGAGCUGAGGAGAUGGAACUCAGAUGUAAAGUGUACACGCAUGGGGCCCUGAGUUCCAGAAUCAAGGUUAAAAUAAAUAAAUAAAUAAAUAAAGCCAAGUGUGCACUCCUUAGUUAUGGCCCUGGGAAGGCCCUAUCAGGCCCCACUAGUCAGCCAGCCUGACCUAACCUUGAGUCAGCUAGUGCCUGGUUCACUGAAAAUAUGAUCGGCAGCAAGAAGGGUGACCCUUGUGACCUCUGGCCUCCUGGCUCCACACACAUGCACACUUGAGUGUGUGCAUUCAUUAGAGCACACACGUUAAGACUGUUUUUCUAGUCUUUUUUUGGAGGGUGGAAUGGUUUUGUUUUUUGAGGCAGGGUCUCGCUAUGUAGUUCUCACUGCCCGGCACUUGCUCUGCAAACCAAGCUGACUGUUACCACCCAGGUAUCUAUGGGCCUGUGCUUCCUCAGUGCUGGAGUUAAAGGCGUGUGCUGCAACACCUAGCUGCUUUUACAAGUUUAAAAACAGAAUAUAGGGUGCUUCCCAAUCACUUCUGUGUGACAGUAUUUUAUAUGACUUAAAUCUCUGUGUGUGUGGUGAAAGAAAGAUCCUAUAACAAUAGCAACAUGAAAAUUUAACAAAGGAGUAAGAGAUUAGAAAGCAAACAGCUUUGCCAAGAUAGUUUUUGCUAUCUCUUGCCUUUAUCACCUGAAAUCAAAUAAUAGCUUAACUUUAACGACUUAAAACUUGGUAGCUUUCAACACAGUUUAGUGAUGUCCACUUGGAAUCCUAGUUCUAGGGAAAGUAGAGUCAGGGAGAUCCACAUUCAAGGCCAAUCUGGGCUCUGUACUGAGACCCUUUGAAGCAAGCCCUGUAGGCAUGCAUUGCUGUUCCUUCUUCUUGAAUUGCUGUGCCUGUGAGGUCUUAGCCUAGAGCAGCACCUCCCAGAAGCCUCUCAUGCCAUCCCCUGCCAAUUAUGUGUGCUUCCAUGACUGGUGGCUGCCUCCUUGAGGAUGCUGUGGGUCCCUGGAGGCUGGAGUUUUGUGUUUGCUUACCUUUGUAUCCCCAGCGACGGUUUGGAAGAACACGGUGAUGUUCUACUGAGCACCAUGCAGUGUACAUACAGUAUAAUGUGAAGUGACCUACACACUAUAGCUUUAAUGGAGUAGUGCAUCUCCAACUGUAAGCUAACAACCGUUUUGUAAAGUAUGCAUGCACAAUGCAAACAUUGUACCUAGUUUAGGUAUUAGUAAUGCUUUGAAAUAUAACUGAUCUACUUAGGAUUACACGAAAAAAAUGUUUCUUAGUGUGUUAAAGUAGCUGGAAGCAGCACCACACUCCGAGACUCCAAAGUUCUUGUUAGCCUGUGGGUUGUCAGCGUUGUGCAUGGCUUCUAAACGUUGAAGAUUUUCCUGUUAUCUUUCUGUUGAUUCUAAUUGAUUGAUUUCUAAUUAGAUAGCUUUGACCAGAAAAUCUGAUUGACAACCAGUACUGUGGGCAAAAAUUUGUCGAGCCUAAGCUUAUGCUUAGGAAGCAGUUUCAGUAGUAUGUUCUCUCUGUGCAGAAAGGGCGUGGCAGGUCUCGGGAUGGACACGUCAGUGACCGCCUGUUAGGCUGACCUUGUUAAGUAUGCUGUAUGCAUCUACAUCCUUUCUGAUUAAUUGUCUGUAGUUGCAGUGGACUGGGAGCCUGCUGUGAUUUCACGUCUUCUAGACUUACCCAUGACAUCUCAACAAUGUGGUUGCCUAAACAAAACCUGAAUCAUGACCUCACCAGUCAACAUACCAAUGGGGAUGGAAAUCUCAUCCUGCCCCACCCGCAGUAAAGAGCUAUGGCAUUCCAUAGCUUCGGAGGGAGGGAGAAUCCAGGACUCUCUAGGGACAAGACUCUUGCCGGGCUGGUUAUCCAGGCUCAAGUGGUCAGCUCUAAACACAUGUAUAUAUGAGUAAUAGUAAAUGCACUGAGGUGUGUGUCUGUGUGUCUGUGUGUGAGUCUCUCUAUGUGUUGUGAAUGUGUGGGUUUCUGUGUGUGUAUGUCUCUGUGUGUUGUAUGGGAAUGUGUGGGUGUCUGUAAGUGUGUGUGAGUCUCUCUGUUGUAUGUGGGUGUGUGGUGCCUCUGAGUGUGUGUGUGCUUCUGUGUGUGUACGCAUGGGUGUCUGUACUCACAUCAGUAACAGUGAUGGUCACAGAGGAUGACGUUGAGUCGGUGAGAGUGUCUGGGCUGUGGCUGUUUAAAGCCACACGGAGUCUGGAUCGUCUUCUUCUUCCUCCGUCUUCCUCCUCCUGCUGCUGCUGCUGCUGCUGCUGCUGCUGCUGCUUCUUCUUCUUCUUCUUCUUCUUCUUCUUCUUCUUCUUCUUCUUCUCCUUCUCCUUCUCCUUCUCCUUCUCCUUCUCCUU